GCAGGCAGAGGGUUUCCUGCGUAUGAUUUGAAAUCAUUCUUUUUCGUUUUUACUAACGAUGCCUGCU
rnacentral:tRNA from 1 species